AUGCUCGCUUCAGCAGCAUAUAUACUAAAAUUCGAACAAUACAGAGAAGAUUAGUAUAGGCCCUGUGUGAGGAUGAUACACAAAUUCAUCAAGAGAGGCUGAGAGAU